rnacentral:snoRNA from 1 species
GUAAUAUGAUGAACAACGGGUCUGCUGAAUCGAAAGAUCGGACGCGAUCUUUCGUUAUGAUGAUCCGUUGGAGCACUGAUG